GUUGAUUAAGGAUAAGAAGCCCUUGCUUUUUGAUUCUCAAACACUGCGCCUGGCUUUUUACUGUUGAUGUGGCAGAUGUGUUUUAGAUAGAUGACCAGAUAGAUUGGUUAGAUUGAACUGCAUUACCCAUCCUUACUUAGACAACCACAUCUGUAAACCAUGUAUUCUCCACCUUAAUUAAGAGCAGGUUGUAAGCUUUUACAGUAAUACAUCAGGAUUGAAAAGGACUCUGCAGCAUUGCCAGGAACAAUAUUUGAUAAAAAGAAGAAGAGAUGCUUCCUAGUUCUGUCU